CCCAUAGCUCAGCUGGUUAGAGCAUCUGACUCAUAAUCAGAGGGUCACAGGUUCGAGCCCUGUUGGGCC
rnacentral:tRNA from 1 species